GGGCAGGUAGCUCAACUGGUCAGAGCAUCGGAUUGUGGAUCCGAGGGUUGCGGGUUCGAUUCCCGUCCUGCCCC
rnacentral:tRNA from 1 species